AGAGAACCCAGACACCUCACAGUGUCUAGACUAGAGCGAAUAACUCGUAGAGCUCACCGCUCAGAGGGAGGAGGCUCUGUCGUGGGAAUUCCAGCUGCCACGGGAGUCACAAAGAGUUUUGGAGCUGGAUUGAACCCCAGAGAGAAAGAUCUUUUGGAUUUUGUCGACGAGAACAGAGAGAAUGUACAGGACUGUUCAGAUGAAGAAAGAGAACCGCUGGGCAGCCCUGAGUUUCCUCGCCUCCACCCUGCAGCAGAGCUCAGCUCACCAGAGCAGAGGUCACGGCAACAUGAGGCUAGUCUGGCUGAGGGAGAUGUGCCAGAGCUUGAAGAAGAUGAUGACGCCCCAGAAGAACUGAACCAGUCAGAGGAAGAGGAGCUGAUAGACUCUGGGUCAGCCAGUCAGAGCCCUGAACUUCCACAGGAAGAGGAAGAGGAAGAGAACGAUGAUGACGACGCUCUUAGUGCAGGUGACUCGCACUUUCACAUCCAAUUCAUCCUAGUGAAUCAGUGCAUUUAUAUGAAUCAUUUCAAUAAACUGGUUUAACAACAUCCAGUUAUAUAUAUAUAUAACAUCCAGAAUCACCUCAUUGAACCGGUUCAGCAAUAUCCGAUUCAUUUUAACAAAUCAAUUCAUUUGAAUUGUUCUUCUUAUUCACUUAGACAUCUGCAAUCUCCUUUCUUCUUUGUUCCCAGAACUUUUAGUCAAGCCAGACGUAGGUCUUUUCAGUUUAAAGCUCCAUCUGAUUGGAAUAAUCUUCCCCAAUCUUUGAGAUCUGUUACUUCCCUUUAUUGCUUUAGGUCAUUUUUAUUUUCUUAUCUUUAAUUAACUUGUGUAUGCUUGUAAGUUUUCUUCUGAUGAUUUUGUUUGUAUAUGACAUUGAUUGUUUAGUAGUUCUGCUGUGGGUGUGGGGGAUUGGUUGAGCAUGUCUUCUAAUUUGUGCAUGUGUUGCAUACAUGCUUUGUAUGGUUGUUUUGUUUAUGUUGCAAUAUUUUUUAUUUAUUUUUUUCUGGACCCCCUUGAAAAUGAGAUGCCACAUCUCAAGGGGCUAUCCUUUCAAUAAAUUAAAAUUUCAAUGAACUAGUUCA
ensembl:lncRNA